GCCUAACACAUGCAAGUCGAACGGCAGCGCGGGGGCAACCCUGGCGGCGAGUGGCGGACGGGUGAGGAAUGCAUCGGAAUCUGCCCUGUUGUGGGGGAUAACCAACCGAAAGGUUGGCUAAUACCGCAUGAGACGGCGACGUGAAAGCGGGGGAUCUUUGGACCUCGCGCGACAGGAUGAGCCGAUGCCGGAUUAGCUAGUUGGCGGGGUAAAGGCCCACCAAGGCGACGAUCCGUAGCUGGUCUGAGAGGAUGAUCAGCCACACUGGAACUGAGACACGGUCCAGACUCCUACGGGAGGCAGCAGUGGGGAAUAUUGGACAAUGGGCGCAAGCCUGAUCCAGCAAUGCCGCGUGUGUGAAGAAGGCCUUCGGGUUGUAAAGCACUUUUGCCCGGAACGAAAAGCGAUGGGUUAAUACCCUGUCGUGCUGACGGUACCGGGUGAAUAAGCACCGGCUAACUUCGUGCCAGCAGCCGCGGUAAUAC
rnacentral:rRNA from 1 species